rnacentral:rRNA from 1 species
GACGAACGCUGGCGGCGUGCCUAAUACAUGCAAGUUGAGCGAUGAAGCUUGGUGCUUGCACCAAUUUGAAGAGCAGCGAACGGGUGAGUAACGCGUGGGGAAUCUGCCUUUGAGCGGGGGACAACAUUUGGAAACGAAUGCUAAUACCGCAUAAUAACUUUAAACAUAAGUUUUAAGUUUGAAAGAUGCAAUUGCAUCACUCAAAGAUGAUCCCGCGUUGUAUUAGCUAGUUGGUGAGGUAAAGACUCACCAAGGCGAUGAUACAUAGCCGACCUGAGAGGGUGAUCGGCCACAUUGGGACUGAGACACGGCCCAAACUCCUACGGGAGGCAGCAGUAGGGAAUCUUCGGCAAUGGACGAAAGUCUGACCGAGCAACGCCGCGUGAGUGAAGAAGGUUUUCGGAUCGUAAAACUCUGUUGGUAGAGAAGAACGUUGGGGAGAGUGGAAAGCUCAUCAAGUGACGGUAACUACCCAGAAAGGGACGGCUAACUACGUG